GUAGUCCACGCCGUAAACGAUGAUCACUCGCUGUUUGCGAUACACAGUAAGCGGCUGAGCGAAAGCAUUAAGUGAUCCACCUGGGGAGUACGAUCGCAAGGUUGAAACUCAAAGGAAUUGACGGGGGCCCGCACAAGCGGAGGAACAUGUGGUUUAAUUCGAUGAUACGCGAGGAACCUUACCUGGGCUUAAAUGUAGAUUGCAUAGAUUGGAAACAGUCUUUCUCUUCGGAGCUAUUUACAAGGUGCUGCAUGGUUGUCGUCAGCUCGUGCCGUGAGGUGUCGGGUUAAGUCCCAUAACGAGCGCAACCCCUAUCGUUAGUUGCUAGCAGGUAAUGCUGAGGACUCUAGCGAGACUGCCACCGUAAGGUGAGAGGAAGGUGGGGAUGACGUCAAAUCAGCACGGCCCUUAUGUCCAGGGCUACACACGUGUUACAAUGGUCGGUACAAAGGGCAGCUACCUGGUGACAGGAUGCCAAUCCCUAAAGCCGAUCCCAGUUCGGAUUGGAGUCUGCAACCCGACUCCAUGAAGUUGGAAUCGCUAGUAAUCGCAUAUCAGCGAUGAUGCGGUGAAUGUGUUCCUGAGCCUUGUACACACCGCCCGUCAAGUGAUGGGAGUUGGGAGUACCCGAAGUCGGAUUGCUAACUUGUAAAAGAAGCGUCUGCCGACGGUAAGCUCGAUGACUGGCACU
rnacentral:rRNA from 1 species